rnacentral:rRNA from 1 species
AUUGAACGCUGGCGGCAUGCUUUACACAUGCAAGUCGAACGGUAACAGGCCGCAAGGUGCUGACGAGUGGCGAACGGGUGAGUAAUGCAUCGGAACGUGCCCAGUCGUGGGGGAUAACGCAGCGAAAGCUGCGCUAAUACCGCAUACGAUCUAUGGAUGAAAGCGGGGGACCGUAAGGCCUCGCGCGAUUGGAGCGGCCGAUGUCAGAUUAGGUAGUUGGUGGGGUAAAGGCUCACCAAGCCAACGAUCUGUAGCUGGUCUGAGAGGACGACCAUCCACACUGGGACUGAGACACGGCCCAGACUCCUACGGGAGGCAGCAGUGGGGAAUUUUGGACAAUGGGCGCAAGCCUGAUCCAGCAAUGCCGCGUGAAGGAAGAAGGCCUUCGGGUUGUAAACUGCUUUUGUACGGAACGAAAAGGCUCUGGUUAAUACCUGGGGCUCAUGACGGUACCGUAAGAAUAAGCACCGGCUAACUACGUGCCAGCCGCCGCCGUAAUAC